CAAUUUACAUCUCUCAAUCAAUGAAUUUGAGAUAUGCUUAUAUGAUAACUUUGGAAAGAGGUGGAAUGUCACAUAAGAUUCCAAUUUCUCAAAAUGAAAGUAAAGGAACGGGACCUCAGCAAUUGAGCCGAUCUGUCGUCCUCAUCCUCUCUCGCAUAAAAAAAAAAUCUGGCCGCCGAUGUGCUUGGACUCGCCAGCCGCUGCUGCUAAGGAUUGUUUUUACGCGCGCUCUUAUCCUCUCCACGCCGCUCUGCACCUGGGAUCUUUCCACCGCUCCAGCCUGUCGAUCCCAUCUCCCUGGGAUUUUUACCCGUUGCGCUUGCCGUCUUGAUUUUCCCCACGCACGCUCUGGUUUCUGAUUUAUAUCAGCUCGUCUUCCACCUCCGUCUGUCGUACCCGUGUGGUUGAGCUCGGCUUCGAGCUCCCAUCCCCCAUGCGCCGUCCGUCACCUCGUCCUCGGCGCGCGCCUCUGCUUCCUGGUAGCCGCGCCCAGCUUCCUCUCUUCCGCGCGCCCCCUGCUUCUCCUUGGCCGGGGCUUCAUCCUCUCCCUGCUCGCCAUGGCUGGUCGAGCUUUUUUCCAGCCACGAAGCUCCCAUGGCCGCCGAGCUCAGCCUUUGCUCCUCCCUGCGUCGCGCGCCUGGCUUGCUCUCCAGCUCCCGUGCACGCCCGGAUCCUCUUCCUCCCAGGGGCUCGGCCGCAUCUCCAUCUCCCAGCAAGCGCCCUACCGAAGCCCUCCCAUGGCGUUGUUCCUCCCUGGUGCCGAGUCUCUCUCUGCCAAUCGCCCAUGGCGCCCAGCCGCUUGGCCUUCCUGGUACUCGCUCUCCCUCAGUGCCCUGUCCCUUGUACGACGCCCUUCCUGCUCCAGUUUGUAUUUUUUUAUAGCUGGCCGUUGUUCACCUCGCCGUCAUCGACCUCCCCUCGCCCUCAUCCUCUGCAGGGCCAGCCCUGAGGGUGUGCAGGGUAUGCCACCGCUCAGGGCCCCCAAUAUCCGUAGGACCCCGUAUACCUAGAUAAUGUCCAAAUACAUAUAUGUUACAGGUAAAUCUCUAUUCUCGUUUUUUGUUAUGUCUCUGAUUUUUUGGCAAUUAUCUCUUCGAGGUCGUGCAACAUUUUGCUAAUGACGAAUACUAAAUAUUAAUUGAUGCGGGAAGGUCGGAAGGUGUUGUACAUAUGUGCUUGUGGCGUUGCUCAAUUCUAGCCUACCGGAGGGUCCACCCUGAUAACCUACGUUGUUUAAUCCAAGUUUAGUUUGCUGAAAUUUGUUUCCAGAAAAUUUGCUCUAAUGUAUUUAAAUUUGGUUUACUGUGCAUUUUAAGGUUUAGGCUAGUUUGACAAAUUAAAAGUAAAAAACUCGCUCUCAAAGCAAAUAUAGAGUUAUAUUACAUAAUAUGUAUAAUUUUAUAACUCAUAAAAUAUUGUAACAGUCUCCAGUCAUAUCAUUUUAAAAAAAAAUGUGUAAAUCAUCAACUUCUUUUAUUUUUCAGAUAUCAUUUAAAGUUGAAAAAUAGCAGAAUCAAACUUUCGUAUAGGACCUCUAUGUAGAUUUUCGCUUAGGGCCCCCAAAAUGUCAGGACCGGCCCUGAUCCUCUGGCUGCCGCCCCUCCCUAUUCUUGGUGGUCGAGUCUUCUCCCAUGGAUGCUGGCCGUCGCUGCCCUCCCUGGUGCUCGACAAAAUGGGUGACCUACCUCAUUCUCGACCUUGCUGUGGUGGUCGGUCACGCCAUGGUCGUGGAUGCUCUACAUUCUCGCUAUCGCGUCUUUAAUUGCCGUUGGAAAGGAAGGUUUCAGGUUUCGGAGCUGAUGAAGUAAGCGAAGCUCGAACGACGCUCUCUAGGUGUCCGUCGGAUUUCCGAUGCCAGACGUCGUCCUCUCUGUUCCGUGUCUCCCUGCAUCUUCAUCGAUGUAGCAUCGGUCGUCAACCUCGCCGUGGCAGCUCUCAAACUAGGAGUGUUGGUGCAAAACCGUCGUCACCCCGUCAUUGCAGGUACGUUAAGUGAUCACGUGAUGCGGAAGAUCAGAGCCAAGUCAUUCCCAAGAUGAUGCAGAGAGUGGGCAUCUCCGCAAGACGAUGUCGUCAGUCGGACCAACCUAAAGAUGGAUAAUCUGAACGAGUGCCAAGACAAAGUGUGACGGAACCUCCCAAGUCAUUAGGCCCGCCUACAGUUGUCCUUGUCCAACGGACCUCGGACAACCCUGUAAAUGCACAUAAUCACUUGACAAGUUCGAUAUCUGUAUCCUUUACCUUUCCCAAGAGUGUUUCACCCGUCACGCAGAUAUUACAACACAUCGGAGGAACGAAUAAGCGGAAGCAAAUUACAAUAACUUAUCUUACAUUCA